GUGGGGAAUCUUGCGCAAUGGGCGAAAGCCUGACGCAGCAACGCCGCGUGGGGGAUGAAGGCUCUCGGGUUGUAAACCCCUUUCAGCAGGGACGAAUCAAGACGGUACCUGCAGAAGAAGCCCCGGCUAACUACGUGCCAGCAGCCGCGGUAACACGUAGGGGGCAAGCGUUGUCCGGAUUUAUUGGGCGUAAAGAGCUCGUAGGUGGCUGAGUAAGUCGGAUGUCAAAUCCCCAGGCUCAACCUGGGAUCCCAUCCGAUACUGCUCUGGCUAGAGUCCGGUAGGGGAGCGUGGAAUUCCUGGUGUAGCGGUGAAAUGCGCAGAUAUCAGGAGGAACACCAGCGGCGAAGGCGGCGCUCUGGGCCGGUACUGACACUGAGGAGCGAAAGCGUGGGUAGCAAACAGGAUUAGAAACCCCUGUAGUCC
rnacentral:rRNA from 1 species